CUUAUUGUAAAGAUAAAUUAUUAUUUUUAUUUAAAAUGUCACGAGUACAAAUAAAUUUAUUUGAAAGGAUAAAAUUAAACUAAUAGAUUCGACAGUAUCUAUUGCUGCGAGCUAUUCAUCUUUUUGGAAGGAAUCAAAUGGAAGGAACGACCAGGAGCAAAAUAACCAUGAAGCUUUUUUCUUCAAUUUUCUUCCGGCCCAUCCACGUCUUUUGGAGCCACAAAUGAGCAUUAAAUUUGAUCCCCUUUUCCCAUUUUGUUUUGCGAGUAUUGAAAACUAUGCCCAGAUCCUAGAUCCAUUUUUCCAACCUGGGCGAUGCCAUUGAGGUGCUCGUCGAUGGGUACCCGAAAAUGUUCGACAUCUGUGGAUGUAUUUCUACGGGUUUCCACUUUGCCUUGGAAGAAUUAUCUAUAUGGGUUUUCAGUUGGUGUUAGAGGGAUUUGCAGUUGGAUGUUAAAUGGAAAGACUUAAAAAGUGUUGAAAAUUUGAGGAUUCAUGUUUCUGCAAAUGUGUAACCAUGGCUUGAAUAGUGA
rnacentral:lncRNA from 1 species